rnacentral:rRNA from 1 species
CUGGCGGCGUGCUUACACAUGCAAGUCGAGCGGAAAGGCCCUUCGGGGUACUCGAGCGGCGAACGGGUGAGUAACACGUGAGUAACCUGCCCCUGACUCUGGGAUAAGCCUGGGAAACUGGGUCUAAUACCGGAUACGACCAUUUCUCGCAUGGGAUGGUGGUGGAAAGUUUUUUCGGUUGGGGAUGGGCUCGCGGCCUAUCAGCUUGUUGGUGGGGUGAUGGCCUACCAAGGCGACGACGGGUAGCCGGCCUGAGAGGGCGACCGGCCACACUGGGACUGAGACACGGCCCAGACUCCUACGGGAGGCAGCAGUGGGGAAUAUUGCGCAAUGGGCGGAAGCCUGACGCAGCGACGCCGCGUGGGGGAUGACGGCCUUCGGGUUGUAAACCUCUUUCAGCAGGGACGAAGUUGACGUGUACCUGUAGAAGAAGCGCCGGCUAACUACGUGCCAGCAGCCGCGGUAAUACGUAGGGCGCGAGCGUUGUCCGGAAUUAUUGGGCGUAAAGAGCUCGUAGGUGGCUUGUUGCGUCUGCCGUGAAAGCCCGUGGCUUAACUACGGGUCUGCGGUGGAUACGGGCAGGCUAGAGGCUGGUAGGGGCAAGCGGAAUUCCUGGUGUAGCGGUGAAAUGCGCAGAUAUCAGGAGGAACACCGGUGGCGAAGGCGGCUUGCUGGGCCAGUUCUGACGCUGAGGAGCGAACG